rnacentral:rRNA from 1 species
GAGUUUGAUCGUGGCUCAGAACGAACGCUGGCGGCGUGCCUCUCACAUGCAAGUCGAACGGACAUACAGUUCUCUGGCAACUGGAAACUGUAUGUUCUUGGCGAACGGGUCUGUCUCACGUCUAUCUCCUACCCUUCUGUGUGGGACAACUCUGGGAAACUUCAGCUCUUACCACAUCUGACCACAUGCUCUCUUGCAUGUGGUCUCUGGAGAGAUCCGCCUCUGGAUGGGUCUGCGGCCUAUCAGGUCUUUGGUCUGGUCUUGGCUUACCAAGCCUAUCUCGGGUCUCCGGUCUCUCUGGAUGGACGGCCACACUGGAACUCUCUCACGGUCCAGACUCCUACGGGAGGCAGCAGUGGGGAAUAUUGCACAAUGGGCGAAAGCCUCUUGCAGCGACGCCGCGUGGAGGACGAAGGCCUUCGGGUUGUCUACUCCUUUUGUCUGGGACAAUCUUCUUGGUACCCUACGAAUCUGCCACGGCUCUCUCUGUGCCAGCAGCCGCGGUCUGACAGAGGUGGCAAGCGUUGUUCGGAAUUACUGGGCUUCUCUGGCGCGUCUGCGGCAGUGUCUGUCCGAGGUGGAAUCCUAUGGCUCAACCAGAGGACUGCCUUGGAAACUGCACUGCUUCUGUCAGAUCUGGGAAGGCGGAAUUCCUGGUGUCUCAGUCUCUUGCGUCUAUAUCAGGAGGAAGGCCUGUGGUCUCUACGGCCUUCUGGGUCUUCUCUCUCGCUCUGGCGCGAAAGCGUGGGGAGCAAACAGGAUUCUAUACCCUGGUCUUCCACGCCCUCUACGGUGGGCACUCGGUGUGGGAUCCGCAAGGGUUCUGUGCCUUCUGGAAACCGUUCUGUGCCCCGCCUGGGAAGUACGGCCGCAAGGUUCUCUCUCAAAGGAAUUCUCGGGGGCCCGCACAAGCGGUGGAGCAUGUGGUUUCUUUCGACGCAACGCGAAGAACCUUACCUGGGCUUCUCAUGCUGGUGGUCUGAACCUCUCUGGGGGAUCUCCUCGGGGUCUCUCGAGGAGCCAGCACAGGUGCUGCAUGGCUGUCGUCAGCUCGUGCCGUCUGGUGUUGGGUUCUGUCCCGCAACGAGCGCAACCCUUAUCCUCUGUUGCCGAUCUGGCUCUCUCUGGAAACUGCCAGCGAUCUGCUGGAGGAAGGUGGGGAUCUCGUCAAGUCAUCAUGGCCCUUAUGUCCAGGGCUACACACGUGCUACAAUGGCUGCUACAGAGGGUUGCAAGACCGCGAGGUGGAGCCAAUCCCUCUCUGCAGUCUCAGUUGGGAUCGGAGUCUGCAACUCGACUCCGUCUACGUGGAAUCGCUCUUCUUCGCGGAUCAGCUACGCCGCGGUCUAUACGUUCCCGGGCCUUGUACACACCGCCCGUCACACCACGAAAGCCUGUUGUACCCGAAGCUGGUCUGCUCUCCCGCAAGGGAGGCAGCC